rnacentral:rRNA from 1 species
GACGAACGCUGGCGGCGUGCCUAAUACAUGCAAGUCGAGCGGACAGAAGGGAGCUUGCUCCCGGAAGUUAGCGGCGGACGGGUGAGUAACACGUGGGCAACCUACCCUGUAGAUCGGGAUAACAUCGAGAAAUCGGUGCUAAUACCGGAUAAUCAUUUGAAGUGCAUGCUUCGAAUGUAAAAGAUGGCUCCGGCUAUCACUACGGGAUGGGCCCGCGGCGCAUUAGCUAGUUGGUAAGGUAAUGGCUUACCAAGGCAACGAUGCGUAGCCGACCCGAGAGGGUGAUCGGCCACACUGGGACUGAGACACGGCCCAGACUCCUACGGGAGGCAGCAGUAGGGAAUCUUCCGCAAUGGACGAAAGUCUGACGGAGCAACGCCGCGUGAGUGAUGAAGGUUUUCGGAUCGUAAAGCUCUGUUGUUGGGGAAGAACAAGUGCCGUUUGAAUAAGGCGGCACCUUGACGGUACCUAACCAGAAAGCCACGGCUAACUACGUGCCAGCCGCCGCAGUAACAC